UUUAAAGAAAACAUUUUUUGAAGGUCAAGAGGAAAAGUGCUGCCUUUUAAGCUAUUGUCGUAUUGUCCUUCUCACUUAAUAACUCACAAAAUGUCUAUUUUGACCCUCAUUUGAGAAUAACCUUCCAGUCAAAGGGUAGUUUCUAAUGUUGAUGGGGUCCAACCAUCAAUCUAGUUGAGGCGAACUCUAUGUGAUACAUAUUAUUUCUUCUCUCUCUCUCCUCUAUCUGUCAUACACGCGCACACACUAAAAUAACUAGUUCAACUCCAUAAAUCCAUUUCUUACAUUUACUCAUCUCCAAAAGCAUAUUAGUUACUAUUAUACAUGAAGCAUAUGUUUUGGAUAGAAAGCUGAAAAUGGACUGAGAAAUUCUUCAUCUUUAAACAUAAUACAAAUUUUGGAUUAUAAAAAUUGAUUCUAAAGGAAAAUCGGUUAGCUUUUGUAAAUGCCAGAUAAUAACAAUAUGUGGAUUGAUGAAACCAUGUAACUCAGAAACCAAUCAACCAAUAAAAGACAAGUGUAUGUAUGUUACUAAUAUGACAUGCAACAUUGUUACACAUGUUCAUAAGUCUGGAAUAAGAAGUUUUUCUCACUUGACCCUACUUGCUAUAAACAGCUCAUAUGCACAUUGUUUAAAAAAGCUUUUUGAGGCCUACGCCUUGAAUCCCACCUCAUGUGAGGCUUUCAUUGAACACCUAAAUGUCAUUUUUGAGGCUUGCGCCUCGAUUUACAGAAGUUUACAGCUCAAGGUCAUGCCACAAAUUGACUAAGGCGUGCAUCCAUUUGUCUUGCCUUUAAUAAGAACUUUAUAGCUAAGCUUUGCUUUUAUUUCUUUCUUGCCUAUACAUGGAACGAACGGAGAUGACACCAUUGUUUUUAACUAACCGAUGAAUACAAUUAUAACAUUGUCAUUUUCUUCUGAAAUGAAAGAAGAAAUGAAAAAUGGAGGGUUAUGAUAAAGAAUGAUGUAAAAAAAAUAGUUAUGAGAAGGAUGAUAGUGCAAUAUUUAAAAAUAUUUAAUCAAGUACUAAGGCGUUUUAUUGGCUUGAGCCGCUUUGAGGUGUAUCUUCAAUAUAGAGCAAUAAAAGAAUUUAAAAAGAAUAUAAAAAUACAAAAAUAUGCUCGUAAUAUACCAUAAACCUUUUAAAAAAUCCAUAACAAAACUAAUUAACAAAAUUAAAAGUUUAAGAUCAAUAAAAUAGAAAAUAAUAUGUUUUCAAAUUAGUAAUCAUCUAACAAAAUUAUAACCUAUUGCUAAAAGAAGAAGAAACAAAAAUUUCUUAUAUCCUCACUGCUAAUAUGAUAUUUAAGGAAAUCUUUACAACAUUGCCACCAUCCUCAUUCCAGGUUUCUUUUCAUUUUGUGAUCAUCCUCCUAUUGCAAUGGUGAAUACUGUAUUCUCCUUCCUAUUUUCCUUGUGUAGGUAGAAAAAAAGACCUCAUAAAACAUUUUUUAGAAUAUAAAGAAAACUCAAAAGGCAAGGCAAACAUUGGGACACAUUAGUUGUUUGAGGCAUAAGCCUCACAAGUGGCAUUUAAGGUGCAGGAUUUGAGUUGUUUUAUGAUAG
rnacentral:lncRNA from 1 species